AGCAUAUCAAUAAGCGGAGGAAAAGAAACCAACAGGGAUUGCCCCAGUAACGGCGAGUGAAGCGGCAACAGCUCAAAUUUGAAAUCUGGCCCCCAGGGCCCGAGUUGUAAUUUGCAGAGGAUGCUUUUGGUGAGGUGCCUUCCGAGUUCCCUGGAACGGGACGCCAUAGAGGGUGAGAGCCCCGUCUGGUUGGAUACCGAGCCUCUGUAAAGCUCCUUCGACGAGUCGAGUAGUUUGGGAAUGCUGCUCUAAAUGGGAGGUAUAUGUCUUCUAAAGCUAAAUAUUGGCCAGAGACCGAUAGCGCACAAGUAGAGUGAUCGAAAGAUGAAAAGCACUUUGAAAAGAGGGUUAAAUAGUACGUGAAAUUGUUGAAAGGGAAGCACUUAUGACCAGACUUGGCCCCGGUGAAUCAUCCAGCGGUUCCCGUUGGUGCACUUUGCCGGGGUUCAGGCCAGCAUCAGUUCGCUCCGGGGGAUAAAGGCUUUGGGAAUGUGGCUCCCUCGGGAGUGUUAUAGCCCAUUGCGCAAUACCCUGUGGCGGGCUGAGGUUCGCGCUUUAUGCAAGGAUGCUGGCAUAAUGGUCAUCAGUGACCCGUCUUGAAACACGGACCAAGGAGUCGUCUUCGUAUGCGAGUGUUCGGGUGUUAAACCCCUACGCGUAAUGAAAGUGAACGCAGGUGAGAGCCCUCCAGGGCGCAUCAUCGACCGAUCCUGAUGUUCUCGGAUGGAUUUGAGUAAGAGCAUACGGGGCCGGACCCGAAAGAAGGUGAACUAUGCCUGUAUAGGGUGAAGCCAGAGGAAACUCUGGUGGAGGCUCGCAGCGGUUCUGACGUGCAAAUCGAUCGUCAAAUAUGGGCAUGGGGGCGAAAGACUAAUCGAACCUUCUAGUAGCUGGUUUCCGCCGAGU
rnacentral:rRNA from 1 species